GUAGACAGAAGGCAGAAGCUUCCGUUCCGGGUCAGGGGUAACCAACGUGGACGCAGCUCAACGUGUGCGCUGCUUCUCUGAGUGGUCUCAGAUCAGCGAUGGGGGAGUUUAAAGUUCACCGGGUUCGGUUCUUUGAUUACAUGCCGUCGGGAAUCAGAGCCUUGGCUUUCAAUGGAGAUACUGAAAGAAUGGCAGUGGCGAGGAUGGACGGAUCCGUGGAGAUUUUCCACUGUUCAGACCGAUUUUUCCAAGAAAAGAUCAUCCCUGGCAGAGAGCAGUGUGGGAUUGAAGGUCUGUCCUGGGUUGGGGAGCGUCUGUUCAGUGCAGGACUAAACGGUGGAAUAACUGAGUAUGACCUGACAAACCAGAAAGUGAAAUACA